rnacentral:misc_RNA from 1 species
AGCGAGCCUGCUCGCGAUGGCGGUGAGUCAGCUCACCGGGAUGUUGACCGUAUCAACGUCAUCGCGAGCAGGCUCGCU